UACGAAGGGGGCUAGCGUUGCUCGGAAUUACUGGGCGUAAAGCGCACGUAGGCGGCUUUCUAAGUCGGGGGUGAAAUCCUGGAGCUCAACUCCAGAACUGCCUUCGAUACUGGAGAGCUUGAGUCCGGGAGAGGUGAGUGGAACUGCGAGUGUAGAGGUGAAAUUCGUAGAAUAUUCGGAAGAACACCAGUGGCGAAGGCGG
rnacentral:rRNA from 1 species